AUUAAAGCAAGAUGACCCCAGACAGUUACUAACCCAAAAUGUUUUUCAUGUUGGCUCCAAGGACAACAAUCUAUUUUUUAUUUAUUUAUUCAUUCACUGAUUAUAUUCCGGGCGGAGAAUCUGCCUACAGUGAAACUACCGAGCUCGUAGCCUCACUGGGAGCCUCGAUCGAUCCUUAGCAAAACCGUGAAUAAGUUCAGAACUUAUAAACAGAGAUAGCUGUAUUCUUCUGUUUUCCUGUCAUUAAGCUAACUGGCCUCUUGCUUAUCCUUCAUAUUUAGCAUACAGAUAGGAAAAUAAUAUACCAUUUCUUUGACACUGACAGCUUUAACAUGAAGUCUGAAAAACAAAAAAGUGGAACAGAACAGAACAAAUAGAGAAUGGCCCGUACACAAUGUCAGUAUUGUGCAUUUGAGCGAGCAACUAGUUAAGAGUCCAGUCAUGUAAAAGGUCACAUUUUGGAUUCCCGUACCAGCUAUAUUAUCUGCUGCAGUGUCCUUAAAGGAACACAUUGACUUAUUGGGACUUUAGCUUAUUUAUUAUAUACCCCAGAAUUAGAUAUUCCAUACAUGCUCUUCGUAACUCUGUCUGACGCACCCACCGCUAGCCUAGCCCAGCACGGAUCCUGGUGAUAACCGGCUCUAUCUAGCCUAUUGCUCCCAAUAACUGACAAAAUAACAUAUACAUACUGGGACUAUUCUCAGAAGGCAAAGAACUGCUACUUCUGCUACUUGGACGGAGUGAUUUGCUCGCAGUAACUGAGAAGCCCUGUGGUGAGAGCAGAGAGUUUGCCUGGAGUUCGCUCAGAGUUGGAGUAAUAAUCACUCAGCCGAAGUUGCAGUACUUUGUCCUCUGAGAAUAGUUCCCACUGUGUAUACGGUUAGAAGACGGCUGUGUCUCAUGUGACCUUGUUAUUUGUACACGCUGUGACUAUACAAAUAACAACAUGUAAAUAG